UACAGAGGUCUCGAGCGUUGUUCGGAUUCAUUGGGCGUAAAGGGUGCGUAGGUGGCGUGGUAAGUCUGGUGUGAAAUCCCGGGGCUCAACCCCGGAACUGCACUGGAUACUGCCAUGCUUGAGUACUGGAGAGGAGAUUGGAAUUUACGGUGUAGCAGUGAAAUGCGUAGAUAUCAGGAGGAACACCGGUGGCGAAGGCGGGUCUCUGGGCAGUAACUGACGCUGAGGAGCGAAAGCGUGGGGAGCGAACAGG
rnacentral:rRNA from 1 species